rnacentral:rRNA from 1 species
GUGAUGGCGGCAGCUUACACAUGCAGUCGAGCGCACUCUUCGGAGUGAGCGGCGGACGGGUUAGUAACGCGUGGGAACGUGCCCUUCUCUAAGGAAUAGCCACUGGAAACGGUGAGUAAUACCUUAUACGCCCUUCGGGGGAAAGAUUUAUCGGAGAAGGAUCGGCCCGCGUUAGAUUAGAUAGUUGGUGGGGUAAUGGCCUACCAAGUCUACGAUCUAUAGCUGGUUUUAGAGGAUGAUCAGCAACACUGGGACUGAGACACGGCCCAGACUCCUACGGGAGGCAGCAGUGGGGAAUCUUGGACAAUGGGCGCAAGCCUGAUCCAGCCAUGCCGCGUGAGUGAUGAAGGCCUUAGGGUCGUAAAGCUCUUUCGCCAGAGAUGAUAAUGACAGUAUCUGGUAAAGAAACCCCGGCUAACUCCGUGCCAGCAGCCGCGGUAAUACGGAGGGGGUUAGCGUUGUUCGGAAUUACUGGGCGUAAAGCGCACGUAGGCGGAUCAGAAAGUAUAGGGUGAAAUCCCAGGGCUCAACCCUGGAACUGCCUUGUAAACUCCUGGUCUUGAGUUCGAGAGAGGUGAGUGGAAUUCCGAGUGUAGAGGUGAAAUUCGUAGAUAUUCGGAGGAACACCAGUGGCGAAGGCGGCUCACUGGCUCGAUACUGACGCUGAGGUGCGAAAGUGUGGGGAGCAAACAGGAUUAGAUACCCUGGUA